rnacentral:lncRNA from 1 species
UUGGUUUUCUCGUUAUCUUCCCAUGCCUUCACUAGUGACAGUCUCUUCUCAGUUUCAACUCUUUCAAGAGCCGCAUCUGCAACCAAUUCAUAAAACACGGUAAUUGAUUGAUUUAAUUCAUUCCCAUGCCUUCACUAGUGACAGUCUGUGUUGAAUUCGUAGAAUAAUUGGACAGAUUUGUGUUUGAAUUAUUAACCAUACCUCUGUGACUGGAUCCGUCCACAUGUUUCUUCUUCUCAUCCUUUUUAGGUUCAUCGAACUCUGCAUCACGUAUUUAUAUAUUGUUCAGAUGUAUAAAAAAAUAGAAUUUUAUCAACGUAGAUGGAGACAUGGAUUCACAUACUCUCUGCAACG